GCGCGAAACCUUCACAAUGCACGAAAGUGUGAUGAGGGUACUCCGAGUGCGCAUACAUUGUAUGUGCUUUUCUGCAGCGUAAAUAGUUGCAGGAAUAAGGGCUGGGCAAGACCGGUGCCAGCCGCCGCGGUAACACCGGCAGCCCUAGUGGUGGUCGCUUUUAUUGGGCCUAAAGCGUCCGUAGCCGGAUAGGCAAGUCUUUGGGUAAAUCCUACGUCUUAAGCGUGGGAAUUCUAAAGAUACUACCUGUCUUGAGGCCGGGAGAGGCUAGAGGUACUCCUGGGGUAGGGGUAAAAUCCUAUAAUCCUGGGGGGACCACCGAUGGCGAAGGCAUCUAGCUGGAACGGGCCUGACGGUGAGGGACGAAACCCAGGGGAGCGAGCCGGAUUAGAUACCCGGGUAGUCCUGGGCGUAAAUGAUGUGGGCUUGGUGUGAGCGCAUCGACGAGGUGCGUUUGUGCCGUAGGGAAGCCGUUAAGCCCACCGCCUGGGGAGUACGGUCGCAAGGCUGAAACU
rnacentral:rRNA from 1 species